GUGGCUGUCGCGGCGUCCUGAGGCGCGCGGUGGAGGAGGGAUUUCCGUCUGGCGCUGCCUACGAAGAGCUAGAUGGCAGGUGAGACCCGGGUGGCCAGCGAUGGCUGCGGUAUGGUCCAGGUGGUGUCCGGAUCACGGAGGCCAACUGAAGGCGGUGGUGGAAGAGCCACGCACCUUGUGGAACGCAUGUUGUGUGCCCGCCCCUGUCUGUCAUGUCCCCGGCGUCCACCGCCCUAUGAGAUGCCUGAAUCUGCCUCAAGAAUAAGACACUACAGACCCAGAGUGGCCGAUCGGGACUAAGACAGAAGGUCUGGGAAAAGCAAGGCUGCAGAUGGCCGUGUUCUGCGUUUGCUGCCCGACUCUGCUCCCCGGCCCCCUCUGUGUGCAAAGCGCCUGCAUCGUUGCCCUUGGAUGGAGGCCUGUGAGUGAGUGAAGAACUGUAGCUGUGCCUGUGGCUGCGCUUGGCCUCUUGCCCUUAUGGAUAAGCAGGAAACAUAUUUACGUGCCAG